rnacentral:rRNA from 1 species
CCUACGGGAGGCAGCAGUGGGGAAUAUUGGGCAAUGGGCGCAAGCCUGACCCAGCAACGCCGCGUGAAGGAAGAAGGCUUUCGGGUUGUAAACUUCUUUUCUCAGGGACGAAGCAAGUGACGGUACCUGAGGAAUAAGCCACGGCUAACUACGUGCCAGCAGCCGCGGUAAUACGUAGGUGGCAAGCGUUAUCCGGAUUUACUGGAGGUAAAGGGCGUGUAGGCGGGAAAGCAAGUCAGAUGUGAAAACCAUGGGGUCAACCGGUAGCCUGCAUUUGAAACUGUUUUUCUUGAGUACUGUAGAGGCAGACGGAAUUCCUAGUGUAGCGGUGAAAUGCGUAGAUAUUAGGAGGAACACCAGUUGCGAAGGCGGUCUGCUGGACAGCAACUGACGCUGAGGCGCGAAAGCGUGGGGAGCAAACAGGAUUAGAUACCCUAGUAGUC